rnacentral:rRNA from 1 species
AAUGAACGCUGGCGGCGCGCCUAAUACAUGCAAGUCGAGCGAGAAGACGUAGCAAUACGUUUGUAAAGCGGCGAACGGGUGAGGAAUACAUGGGUAACCUACCCUCGAGUGGGGAAGUAACUAGCCGAAAGGUUAGCUAAUACCGCGUACGCUCCUUGGACUUCGGUUCAGGGAGGAAAGACGAUACCGUGGGUAGUCGCGCUCUUGGUUGGGCUCAUGUCCUAUCAGCUUGUUGGUGAGGAACGGCUCACCAAGGCUUCGACGGGUAGCUGGUCUGAGAGGACGAUCAGCCACACUGGCACUGCGACACGGGCCAGACUCCUACGGGAGGCAGCAGUAAGGAAUAUUGCGCAAUGGGCGAAAGCCUGACGCAGCGACGCCGCGUGGGGGAGGU